UUCAGCUUCGUACCUCCAUUACGCCCCAACUCCCAAGCGGUCGGCAACGAGUUUUGAUUUUUAAUUAUAGGAGUACACCUAUUCGAGAAAGAUGUACGUUUAUCACUUUCUUUUUCGGGCAACCCCCGCACCCCUACCCUCCUCAAUCGGCGGAGCGGUUCGGAGUUCCAAGGGCGGAGAGAGAUCGUGUCCUCUGCCGCCAUGCCAACCACCGCCGGCGGCUCACCAUCCUCCUCCUCAUCCACCACCACUACCACCGCCUCCUCCGCCUCCGCCGUGACCUCCACCACGGUCCGAAACCCUAACCCCGGCGGCGACCUUAUGCAAUCUCCCUUGGAGUCCAUCCCUAAGGCCCAGUCCCGUAUCCACGCCCUCGCCGCCCUCCUCGCCGCCCCCGCCCUCCUCUCCCUCGCUGACUCCGACCGCCCCGCCCGCUCCCUCCUCUAUUCCUCCGAGGCCUACGCCGCCGUCUCCGCCGCCGUCUCCGCUCCCCUCUCCGGCUCUGGAGACGACCCCCUCUGCCAGUGGCUCUACGAGACCUUCCAGGCCUCCGACCCGGAUCUCCGCCUCGUCGUCCUCUCCUUCCUCCCCCUCCUCUCCGGCAUCUACCUCUCCCGCGUCGUCGCUACCUUCGCCGCCGACACCCACCAGCCCUCCCUUGCGGGCUUCGAGGCUGUCCUUCUGGCCCUCUACUCCGCCGAGGCCAAGGCCCGCGCUGGCAAGCCCAUCCUCGUCUCCGUCCCCGACCUCUCCCAGCCCUCCCUCUACCACUCUCCCCGCCCCACCGCCGCCGCCGCGAGCUCCCGUCGCUCCGCUGCCUCCGCCUCUUCCCGCCCCGCUUCCCAGCCCUCCGUCGGUGUCCUAUCCCCUCCCCUUGAGCCUCAGAUCGCGGUCAAAUCCACCAAGCGGGCUUCCAUCGUCGGCGUCGCUCUUGAAUGCUACUACAAGAAGAUCGCCCUCAUGCCGAGCCGUUCAAAGAUCGAUUUUUGCGGGUUUGUCGCAUCCUGGGCCGGCCAGGACUGCUCCUGUCGCUUUGAGCUUGACGACGAGCCCACUCCCACCACCACCUCCUCCUUGUCGGAAAUUAGGAACUUCUCGGAGGACGAUGCUGGGGUUGGGAAUAUGGCAGAGCAGAUGGGUAAGCUAGGGAUUCGAGAAAGGCCCAACGGCCACCAAUGCAAUGGGGAGGAGAAGGAGAGUGGUAGGACCUCGAGGGGGUCGAGGGUGCUGCUUCCUUGGGAGCUCCUCCAGCCAGUGCUGAGGAUAUUGGGGCACUGCCUUCUUGGUCCGCUGAACCCACAAGAGGUGAAGGACGCUGCAUUGAUGGCUGUGCGGUGUGUCUAUGCUCGGGCUUCCCAUGAACUGCUGCCACAAGCGAUUUUAGCUACCCGCAGCUUGAUUCAGCUGGAUAAGAAUGCUCGGAAGGCAGCGAAGGCUGCAACAAUGGCAGGGACAGCAGGCACAUCUUCGAACACAAACACGCCGAAAAAGCUGAAGAAGCCAGAGAUCCUUUUGGUCUCAAAAUGAUCGUUAGGGCUGGCUUAUCAUUCGAGCAGCGGUCUAGAAGUACUUGAGCCUCGAGAAUGAGGCUACUGUCUUGAACAAGAGCCUUAUAUAGUGCUUGGGCCUGUGGUGCCUAUUAUAGUGGGUGAAAGCUGCGAUGGCGGCUGCUAUUAUGUUAUAUUGGGCACUAUCAUUCCAAGCAGGCUGGAGGUUUUAAUUUGAACUGUUCAAGUAUCCAUUGGAAGAACGGCUGGCUCACUUAUUUGGUGCUCUGAUAGAACAGAGAGUGGGAAGAAGAGGAGAACAGAAGAACAGAGUGGAAAAGAAAAAAUGGAGGUGCCCCUCCUUGCAUUGUGCCACCAAAGCUCCAAGGCUGGAGUGCCCUUGUCGGUACUCUAUAGCUGGCUUUUGGUCUAGCAUUCUUUCAUCCCUUGUUUGCUUCAGUCAAUUGCUCAUUCUGGUAUUCAAACACCAAGUCUGUUAUAUGAAAUCACAAGUUCAGUGAACUUGUUGCCCAAACCGCAUCAGGGAAAAGUAAAAGGUUCAAAUUGCCAUUAGGUGCGCACAUGCUUGCUUGCACAACUUCUAGCAGUGUGUAUCUAGCGGCUAUCAUAUAUCAGCAUGAUCAAGUCUAUGCUAUCAGGAUGGAUUUAGCUGCAUUUGUGUUUGUGCUGCCAUGUACAUUUGCACACACUUCUAGCAGUACAUAUCUACUGGCUAUCGUAUAACAGUUUGAACAGGCAUGUGUUGAAUGUUUGGUCGCAGUCUGUGCAGGAUAAGCACCAUCCGGAAUUAUGAAUUGUUCAUGCCAUGUUUGUGAAUGAGUCAGGACUUUAAGUCAGUGUUUAAGAUGAUUAUCAGGUGUACAAGCAGAUUACUUCUGGUCUCAGCUGCCAAAAGUUCUCAUCUGUUAUUUGGUGUCCUGUCAGUGAGUACCUUUAAAUAUGGUGCAGUGGUCUUGGUUAUAUUACUGGAAUGGCCAGUUAUGGUCGAGCAGGUGCAAUCUUUAGUUCACAUUCUGGAAUCUGUUGUGAUGCAAAAAUUUCUGUCGUCGCUGGUAUACUGCAGUCCUUCCAAAGAAAUGUGAUUUUUUUUGAGCCAUCUUCAUUUACAAGCAUAAAAACUGGGAUCUUACCUCCUUGAUGGCCGAUACGGUUGUACCCAUGCUGACUCCCUGAUCAUGGUAUUGGGACUUAUUAGUAUACACCCUCAGAAUGUUGACCACAAUGGCAGAUCUCUGUGCAGGUAAAUCAAAACAAGGAGCUUGUUUCCUAUGACGAUUCUGUGCUCUUCUUGCUGCCUGCAACAAAAUAAUAUUAUACGUUUAGAUGUCCGGCCAAGUGCUACACCUCAACAUGUUCCCCGAAGAACCAACUAGUUCUGGGUUUGUGUGGCAUUUCAUCUCUAAUGACAACUCAUCCACAGAUUCUCCAACCUCCGUCAAGGAAAAAGAAAACCAUUUAAGCAAUCUUUUAGACAGAUAGCGAUGCAGAAAGUGAGGAAGGAACGUCAUUGAUGGUACCUCGACCAAUGAAGGCCGGCAAGUAGACUGGAUGAGUAAGAGAGACGAGAAGCAAGGGGAUCCAGGGAGUCACCGGCAAGGGAGAACUUUUUUGAAAAGUAUAAGGAAUUGAAGAUUGCUAAAUGGUGCAUAUUUAAGCUGCAAAUCAUGAGGGCUGGUAUACGAAUGUGCAUAAUACCAAGGACAGGUGAGAGAACCUAGCUUUAUUGAUGCUGCUCGCAUGCUUUCAACUGAAGCUGCAACCUGUCCAAAAUUAUGGGCAGAUAUCAUAGUUGCUGCUAUCAGUUUGAAGAUGCAAAUGGGCAUGUCAUCCUGCAAUCUGCCUUGAAUUAGUAUUGAUGAGUCCUUAAAGCAAUCAAAUCAGCUAACAGUAUUUAAACUUCGAUCCACCGUCAUGGGAAUUUUAAUCAUUUUAAGCUUUGAAUAUGCUUUAUCAUAGAAAAGCAAAUGCACCAGCGAACUGACUGAGAACAGAGAGAUGAAUGUAACAUCGCUUUCCAUGCUAUUCAUCUAGGGGGCAUGCAACGCACUUUGAACUAGAUUAUUUUGACGAACAGCAAUUAGAAAGCGGAUGGAAGUUUAGCGUGGCAAGGAGGCUUUAACCAGAACACAAGGGUGAAAUAACAGUUUCUUCUGUAUCUCUGGAAAUGCUAGGCAGAUGAAACAUACCUAAACGAUUGCCAAAGCGUACAUCAUUUGCUUCUGGUAAUCAACUGUUCGCUUACGCGAACCACAUUGCCGCCAACAUAAGCUUUGCAUUCCAUCUUUGCCAUUCCAAAAUUUCUUUGCAACUUGAUCGGUGCUGUCCUUAUAAUUUAGGUGUCCCUGGCAAUCACAGGCUUCCGAAAUCCUAGUUUGUCAACUCAUGCAAAGAGAGAUCUCUCAAUCGCCACCUACUUCGGUUGCAGCAUUGCUAUCUCUCUCUCUCCCCGGAGACUUGUCCUGCAUCGUCACAGCCAUCAUUGGAUAUUCGAUGAAAUUAGUUGAAUCAUAUUGAUUUCAAUUGUUCUCUGUGGCAGUCAUUGUUUUGUUGCAUAGGUACAAUUUGUUUCAAUUCCUGUUCUUUCA